UGGCGGACGGGUGAGUAACGCGUGGGUAACCUGCCUUACACAGGGGGAUAACACCUGGAAACAGGUGCUAAUACCGCAUAAGCGCACAGGGCCGCAUGGCCCGGUGUGAAAAACUCCGGUGGUGUAAGAUGGACCCGCGUCUGAUUAGCUUGUUGGCGGGGUAGAGGCCCACCAAGGCGACGAUCAGUAGCCGGCCUGAGAGGGUGGACGGUCACAUUGGGACUGAGACACGGCCCAAACUCCUACGGGAGGCAGCAG
rnacentral:rRNA from 1 species